rnacentral:rRNA from 1 species
GAAGGGUGCAAGCGUUGUUCGGAAUUAUUGGGCGUAAAGGGUUCGUAGGCGGGAUUGUAAGUCAAGUGUGAAAUCCCCGAGCUUAACUCGGGACGUGCAUUUGAAACUACAGUUCUUGAGUCAUAGAGAGGGUAGUGGAAUUGUUGGUGUAGGAGUGACAUCCGUAGAGAUCAACAGGAACAUCAGAGGCGAAAGCGGCUACCUGGCUAUGAACUGACGCUGAGGAACGAAAGUGUGGGGAGCAAACAGGGAUUAGAUACCCUGGUAGUCCACACCAUAAACGAUGAUAACUAGGUGUUGGGGGAGUUGACCCCCCCCUCAGUACCGUAGCUCACGCGCUAAGUUAUCCGCCUGGGGAUACGGCCGCAAGGCUA